AUAUAAAAAUUAGAUUGGCAUACACGUCUCUGAAUCUUUGAUCCGUUCCUCAUAAGUGAGAGUCACCAGUCACCACUAACACUAAUUAGGGUUUCGAACUUCGGCAGUCAAUGUACGGCGGGAAGUGGCGGCGCUGCACGAGGUCUUCAAUUCGCUCGACAAUAUUAGUUACUCCACUCUUGUGCAGAUCAGAAUGUCUUCUGGAAGCUUUAGUGAGGGUUCUUCAUCAUUGUUGUUGUCAUCGAGGCGGGUGGAAAAUACGGUGUUCUUGUUCAUGACUCAUAGUCCAUCAAAUCGUAUCGCUCACACCUUCUUCUGCUGUGACAUCCCUACCAACUUGCCUAAUGAUGAAGUCGACUUCAAAGAUGAUUUAGAAGCGGAGAGGCUAAAGCCAAUAUUGGAGUUUCCCUCCAGUGAAUUCCCAAAUUUUAUGACGUGUACGCAGCUUGGGUCCUGUUUUUAUUUUCUGGGUGGGCAGCUCCUUCAGAUGGGUACCAAUGUUGAACAGAUAUAUCCUUCUAAUGUGUAUAUGUUUAAUGCAACUACAAUCACAAAUACUACUUCUACUCAUCCUACCCCAUUAGAGUGCGGGAUGAGGAGUGGGAAGCCUCGUGCUUGCACGUUUGUUGCAGAUGGAAAGCUUUACGUUUUGGGUGCUUUCCAAAAUAUCUGUGGCCUGGAUGAAAACUAUAAAUCCAUACAAUUAUUUGAGGUCUAUAAUCCUGAAACGGGCAAGUGGCGGAAUCUGAAGGAUCCUCCCGUGGAAAAACCACUACACUGGCGUAUCCCCUCGUUUGAAAGAGUGUCUGAGUCUGGAGACAGCCCUUACUAUCCCUACACCCGCAAGGUGGCUUUGAUUGGUCGACCAGCAGACUCUCGUUGUACGAUUGUGCUCGAGUUCAAUCUGGACACUGAAGAAUGCACUCCAAUGAGGCAGAUGAUUCUGUAUCUGCCUUUAGGUUUGAUAAUGGGUGACACAGUGUACCAUCUUGGCGUCAGAGGAAUAAAGUAUUGUCAACCUAAAAAGACGAAGAUUUUACCAAAUCAUCCAUGGAUGAUGGGGGAGGAGUUGUUUACUUUGCCAGGAGACCCUUGUUUUUGUGGGUUGCAGAAUGCUUUUUGCCACCUUGGAGACAAGCAUUUCUGCUAUGUGAGUACUGAGCUUGUUGGCCGCCGAUGUUAUGGGGGUACUCACCUUUUUAUCCGAAUGGGUGUUAUUAGAGUUGUACAAGAGCAGGAUUCAUCCAGGUCUGAGUUGCUAUAUUCUGCCAAAUUUGAUUACGAAGUUGAAUUUUGCCUGUUUCAAUAAUAGGUUUCCCUUCAUUGACUGCUAUGGGCUCUACCUUGACAAGGAGAGCUAAACUAGAUGUUACCCACGCUUGCCCUCCCUAAAAUCAUGGAUUCUAUAAGGUGUAUAAUUCUAUUUGGUUUGAGGAAUCCGUCUCACUUCUAUUCGAUUCCAAUUGCUGUGUUUGGACCCGUUUCAUUUCUACUAUUUGAUUCCAUUUGCUUUUUUUUUUCUUUCCUUGUUGGUAAAUAAAGGAUUAUAUUAAGUACCAAAAUGUCAUUAUACAACCUAAGAACUUUGGAGGUUCCAAGUAAGGACCCUCUAAAGGAAGGGUCCUAUGCAUGCUCAAAUAUAUAAAACUCAACCUUCUGGAUCUACAUUGCCUUCUCUUCUUCAAAUGGCUAUGUUAUCUGAAAUUUUCAGUGAGUUACAGGUGAACACUAAGCAGUGAGGACCGAGAGCCACAGAGAAGUAUUGUGUGCCUCAAGAAACAGUCUUGAGUGAGACACAAAGGUCGUUACCGUGUUUUCUUUUUCUUUCUUUUUUUCUUUUUUUUCGUGUGGGCAGUAAUUGUCCUCUAAUACAUGAUUUAGUUUUUAAUACAAAUAAAAGCUUUUGUUAAGUCAUUAGUGUAUGCAAUAGAUAAACUUCCUAACAUAUCCCAGCAUCCCUCUGUGGAUUUCUGUAAGCACGUACUGUGGUUCUAUUACUGUAACAGUUUGGUAAAGUGAUGUAUUAUCUUUA